UGGCACUAAGUUCUACCUGAGUGGCCUUUCCCUUGUCCAUUCACAAAGGUGAAAAGUAGUGCCAGAUCACGUCUUGUUAUAACUGGAGCUUCUUGGCUAUUUCCCAAGUCUCUCUUUUAAAGCAAGAGACAAUA
rnacentral:snoRNA from 1 species